rnacentral:rRNA from 1 species
UACGUAGGGACCAAGCGUUGUUCGGAUUUACUGGGCGUAAAGGGCGCGUAGGCGGCGUGACAAGUCUCUUGUGAAAUCUCUGAGCUUAACUCAGAACGGCCAAGUGAUACUGUUGUGCUAGAGUGCAGAAAGGGCAAUCGGAAUUCUUGGUGUAGCGGUGAAAUGCGUAGAUAUCAAGAGGAACACCAGAGGUGAAGACGGGUUGCUGGGCUGACACUGACGCUGAGGCGCGAAAGCUAGGGUAGCAAACGGG